AGGGAAUCCGGUGCGACUCCGGAGCUGACGCGCAGCGGUAAGGGCGACGGGCGGGGCACUGGCCACUGGAGCGUGAUCGCGGUCCGGGAAGGCGCCUCGUCCGGGUGACCCCGAGUCCGAAGACCU
rfam:Streptomyces sp. 3124.6 genome assembly, chromosome: I